rnacentral:lncRNA from 1 species
UUUAUGGCGAAGCCUUAAUAUUACACGCUAUUAAUUCAUAAACAUCAUAGUAUAAUCGAUCUGCACCAGCUCAUACUCGUAUUUACAUCGAAGCACAUUCGCUGCACCAGUCAAAAUGUAACCGUCGAACACUAGCUCACACUGAUAUUUACUGUGAAACACAUUCACUCCACCAGUUAGAGUAUAACCUUCGCACACUAGCUGGCACUGAUGUUCACCAUGAAGCAUAUUCGGUGCACCAGCCAAAGUAUAACCUUCCCACACUAGCUCGCACUCGUAUUUACCGUGAAGCACAUUCACUGCACGAGUCAAAGUGUAACUGUCGCACAUUAGCUGUCACUGCUGUCAAGCGCCAUUGCUGCACCGUGUUAACGUAUAAAAGACAACGUAUGACAGAGGCGCACCAGUCAUCGUAUUUACACCAUCCAUAAAUUACGUGUCCGUAUUAAUGUAUGAAACGACACUGUAAACAUGACGUACCAGCUGUCACUGCCAUUUACGAUGAAGUACAACCAUUGCGAUGAAUUAACAUAUAAACACCUAACACCGUGCACAAUCAUGUUCAUACGGAGAA